CAGAUAUUCCUUCCGUAUAACUAUGGUUUACUAAUUGGCCUCUAAUUCAGAGUAAAGAGCCAUUUGGGAGGGAGAACAAAUAGGAUGAAGAGAUCAGAGAUGGGGAGAAGGAAGCUGGACAUCUUCUUGGCAUAAAAGAAAAGAAGAAACAAUGUGGUUCUUGGGAAACACCCUGGGGAGAUGGCUUUAGUUCUUUUGUUCUCUAGGUUCACCGAGCUCUUGGAGAAGUUGCUGAACAUCCUAAAGACCUUUGGGUUUUGAGCAUCUGAACUUGUGCCGAGUCCGUCUAAGUAGUCCCGGAGGUGGAAAGUCGCUCGUGUCUCUGCUGUUCAAGUGCUUACCCCGUUGGGCUCUUAAUAUUCUUGCCGUGAUGAUAUUUUUGAAAUAUCGAGUAUGCUACACAAUGGAAAGUAUUUGCUCUAGUCACAUAUAUUGAAAUUCUCAGUGUCUCUUGACAUCGUAUGCAAUUGCCUGGCCACAAAUCCUGGGAUGCUUUCAAUAGUACAUAUCUACAAUCACCCUUGCUUGGAGACAGGAGUUAACUGUUAUGCCUUCUUUGAAAGAAGAGGAAGAUCUAAGGCUACACUCCUCAGAGAAAGAAGAAAUAAUGAACUCUAGGAAGAAAUACACAUCUAGGCAACAAUAAAUGUUCCAAUCUAACCUGUGCAGUAAAA